rnacentral:rRNA from 1 species
UACGUAGGGUGCGGGCGUUGUCCGGAAUUAUUGGGCGUAAAGGGCUCGUAGGCGGUUUGUCGCGUCGGGAGUGAAAACGCCGGGCUUAACUCGGUGCUUGCUUUCGAUACGGGCAGACUAGAGGCAUGCAGGGGAGAACGGAAUUCCUGGUGUAGCGGUGAAAUGCGCAGAUAUCAGGAGGAACACCGGUGGCGAAGGCGGUUCUCUGGGCAUGUCCUGACGCUGAGGAGCGAAAGUGUGGGGAGCGAACAGG